GCCGGGUGUGGUGGCUCACACCUGUAAUCCCAGCACUUUGGGAGGCCGAGGCAGGUGGAUCUCCUGAGGUCAGGAGUUCGAGACCAGCCUGGCCAACAUGGUGAAACCCUGUCUCUA
rnacentral:SRP_RNA from 1 species